AACGAACGCUGGCGGCAUGCCUAACACAUGCAAUUCGAACGAAACCUUCGGGUCUAGUGUCGCACGGGUGCGUAACGCGUGGGAACCUGCCCUUAGGUUCGGAAUAACUCCCCGAAAGGGGUGCUAAUACCGGAUAAUGUCUUCGGGCCAAAGAUUUAUCGCCUUUGGAUGGGCCCGCGUUGGAUUAGCUAGUUGGUAUGGUAAAAGCCUACCAAGGCGACGAUCCAUAGCUGGUCUGAGAGGAUGAGCAGCCACACUGGGACUGAGACACGGCCCAGACUCCUACGGGAGGCAGCAGUGGGGAAUAUUGGACAAUGGGCGAAAGCCUGAUCCAGCAAUGCCGCGUGAGUGAUGAAGGACUUAGGGUUGUAAAGCUCUUUUACCCGGGAUGAUAAUGACAGUACCGGGAGAAUAAGCACCGGCUAACUCCGUG
rnacentral:rRNA from 1 species